AUUUGCUUGUCAGCUCAUCACAAUACCUAUUUUAGUAUAUGAUCUCUAAACAGUCCCGCCAAACUAGCCGAGUUUCUAAAAUUCUCCAGUUCAGUUAUUUUGUCUUGAAAUUUGAAAUCACCUUUACAAAUUUUUCACGAUUCCUGAUUUAGUAAAUAAACCCCGGAAUUAUUUGCAAAUCUGAGAUGCAAUUACCCAUAUUAACCCUUU